rnacentral:lncRNA from 1 species
AACGCGCCCCCCCUCCCUCCUCGCUCAUCACCGCCGCCGGCGCCUCCUCGGCACAAAUGUGACUGACUGCCAAGCAGCAGUGAAAGCGCACUCCAAG